GACGAACGCUGGCGGCGUGCUUAACACAUGCAAGUCGAACGGAAAGGCCCUGCUUUUGUGGGGUGCUCGAGUGGCGAACGGGUGAGUAACACGUGAGUAACCUGCCCUUGACUUUGGGAUAACUUCAGGAAACUGGGGCUAAUACCGGAUAGGAGCUCCUGCUGCAUGGUGGGGGUUGGAAAGUUUUGGCGGUUGGGGAUGGACUCGCGGCUUAUCAGCUUGUUGGUGGGGUAGUGGCUUACCAAGGCUUUGACGGGUAGCCGGCCUGAGAGGGUGACCGGCCACAUUGGGACUGAGAUACGGCCCAGACUCCUACGGGAGGCAGCAGUGGGGAAUAUUGCACAAUGGGCGAAAGCCUGAUGCAGCAACGCCGCGUGCGGGAUGACGGCCUUCGGGUUGUAAACCGCUUUCGCCUGUGACGAAGCGUGAGUGACGGUAAUGGGUAAAGAAGCACCGGCUAACUACGUG
rnacentral:rRNA from 1 species